CCUCCUAGAACCUUUAACGUGGAACCAUGGGAGGCUUGGAGAAGAAAAAGUAUGAACGGGGUUCUGCCACCAACUACAUCACCCGAAAUAAAGCCCAGAAGAAGCUGCAGCUGAGCCUGGCAGACUUUAGGCGGCUGUGCAUCCUGAAGGGUAUUUAUCCCCAUGAGCCCAAGCAUAAGAAGAAAGUGAACAAGGGUUCCAUGGCAGCCCGAACCUUUUAUCUCAUUAAAGACAUCAAGUUUCUCCUCCAUGAACCCAUUGUCAACAAAUUCCGGGAAUACAAGGUAUUUGUUCGGAAGCUCCGCAGGGCCUAUGGGAAACGCGAGUGGAACACUGUGGAGCGCCUGAAGGACAAUAAGCCCAACUACAAGCUUGACCAUAUUGUCAAGGAACGGUACCCUACAUUCAUCGAUGCUCUGCGAGACCUGGAUGAUCCCUGUCCAUGUGCUUCCUCUUUUCCACCUUCCCGCGGACAGGCAAGUGCCACGUGCAGACCAUCCAGCUGUGCCGCCGGCUCACCGUGGAGUUUCUGCACUACAUCAUUGCUGCCCGUGCUUUGCGAAAGGUCUUCCUGUCCAUCAAAGGCAUUUACUAUCAGGCUGAGCUGCUGGGGCAGCCCAUUGUGUGGAUCACACCCUAUGCCUUCUCCCAUGAUCACCCGACAGAUGUAGACUACAGGGUCAUGGCCACUUUCACUGAGUUCUACACCACCCUGCUGGGCUUUGUUAACUUCCGCCUCUAACAGUUGCUCAACCUCCACUACCCGCCAAAGCUUGAGGGUCAGGCCCAAGCAGAGGUGAAGGCGAAGGAGGAUGCCUACGCAUUGGAUUCUGAGAGCUCCAUGGAGAAACUGGCAGCCCUCAGUGCCAGCCUGGCCCGUGUGGUGGUGCCUGCGGCAGAGGAGGAAGCUCAGGCUGACGAGUUUCCUGCUGAUGGGGAGAUGGCGUUACAGGAAGAGAACCGCAGGAAGGAGCUGGAGGCUCAAGAAAAGCACAAGAAGCUCUUUGAAGGCCUGAAGUUCUUCCUGAACCGUGAGGUACCCCGAGAGGCCCUGGCCUUUGUCAUCAGAAGUUUUGGGGGGCACGUGUCCUGGGACAAAUCUUUGUGCAUUGGAGCCACCUAUGAUGUCACAGACACUGGCACUCUUGGGUUGGCUGCCAGUCUUAAUAUGGAAAGUCUUCCAACUCUUGUGACGGAUGAAGAGCUACAACACAAGCUCAUAGCUAAAGCAUACUGUAUGCCAAUGUUCAGGAAGGAGUCUGUAAAACUCCAGUCUGGACUUCAGCAAGCCAUGGAAAAUGGUAUGACCCAUUCCAAAGUGGGUUGUGUCUUUAUCUAA